rnacentral:sRNA from 1 species
GUUAGUAUAGGUAUUUGCGGUGCCUAUACAGAUCUAUUUAUGGAAUAAAUUAGGAAAAUCAUCAACAGUAUCAGAUAAACCAUACUUAAAGUCAACAAUAUCCCUUAUCUGUUUAUUGACAGAUAAAGAAUA